rnacentral:rRNA from 1 species
GACGAACGCUGGCGGCGUGCCUAAUACAUGCAAGUGGGACGCAAGGGAACACACUGUGCUUGCACACCGUGUUUUCUUGAGUCGCGAACGGGUGAGUAACGCGUAGGUAACCUGCCUAUUAGCGGGGGAUAACUAUUGGAAACGAUAGCUAAUACCGCAUAAUAUUAAUUAUUGCAUGAUAAUUGAUUGAAAGAUGCAAGCGCAUCACUAGUAGAUGGACCUGCGUUGUAUUAGCUAGUUGGUAAGGUAAGAGCUUACCAAGGCGACGAUACAUAGCCGACCUGAGAGGGUGAUCGGCCACACUGGGACUGAGACACGGCCCAGACUCCUACGGGAGGCAGCAGUAGGGAAUCUUCGGCAAUGGACGAAAGUCUGACCGAGCAACGCCGCGUGAGUGAAGAAGGUUUUCGGAUCGUAAAGCUCUGUUGUAAGUCAAGAACGUGUGUGAGAGGGAAAGUUCACACAGG